AGUGACGUCAAAUACAUCAUGCCCCUUACCUUGUUCUCGGGCUACACACGUGCUACAAUGGCCGGUACAGACGGACGCAAAGCCGCGAGGUGGAGCAAAUCCUAAAAAGCCGGUCUCAGUUCGGAUUGCAGGCUGCAAUUCGCCUGCAUGAAGUCGGAAUCGCUAGUAAUCGCAGGUCAGCAUACUGCGGUGAAUACGUUCCCGGGCCUU
rnacentral:rRNA from 1 species